AGCAGCCGCGGUAAUUCCAGCUCCAAUAGCGUAUAUUAAAGUUGUUGCAGUUAAAAAGCUCGUAGUUGAACUUCGGGGUUUACUCAUUGGUCAGGCUUAAUUGUCUGUACUGGUGAGAUGAAUCUCUACCUUCUGAGGAACUUUCAUGCCAUUUAUUUGGUGUGGUUGGAAAUCAGGACUGUUACUUUGAAAAAUUAGAGUGUUUAAAGCAGGCUAACAUCUGAAUACAUUAGCAUGGAAUAAUGAAAUAGGACGGAUUGAUUCUAUUUCGUUGGUUUCUAGGGUCACCGUAAUGAUUAAUAGGGAUAGUUGGGGGCAUUAGUAUUCAAUUGUCAGAGGUGAAAUUCUUGGAUUUAUUGAAGACUAACUACUGCGAAAGCAUUUGCCAAGGAUGUUUUCAUUAAUCAAGAACGAAAGUUAGGGGAUCGAAGACGAUCAGA
rnacentral:rRNA from 1 species